UGCACAGACACGCGUGUGAAGCCUGGG
rnacentral:piRNA from 1 species